CACGCAGGCGGUGCUGCGCGUUUCGCGUGACAGCGGGUGGCUUAACUGCCCGAGGGUGCGAAAGACGGCAGGACUGGAGGGCCAGAGAGGGACACGGAAUUCCGGGUGGAGUGGUGAAAUGCGUAGAGAUCCGGAGGAACACCAAAGGCGAAGGCAGUGUCCUGGCUGGUGACUGACGCUGAGGUGCGAAAGCCAGGGGAGCGAACGGGAUUAGAUACCCCGGUAGUCCUGGCCGUAAACGAUGACCACCAGGUGUGGGAGGGCUCGACCCCUUCCGUGCCGGAGGCAACCCAUUAAGUGGUCCGCCUGGGAGUACGGUCGCAAGAUUAAA
rnacentral:rRNA from 1 species